UAAAAAUGAGAAAUGUUGAAAACCAAGGAUUGAAUCCAGAAUCUAGAGUUUACCAAAGCACCUCUUUACCUACUCAACCAGAUAAACAUCCUUGUUAUAUAGUUUCAAAAACUAAUAUAUAAUAUAACAAAAGACGCACCAAACCUUUUAAAUAAAACACGAAGUUGAAAACAGUAACUACGAAUAACCAAAACUCAUGUUGAAAACAUGUAACGACGAAUGACCAAGCUCAGUUUCCUUUCCAUUUUGAAAAUCAAAGUCUUAACAGCAAGUUAACAUCACAAUCAAACAGGCAGCGGUGUUGCUAAAUCAAACAUGAAGUUCAAAGCAUAAUCGAAACAUGGAAAUAAAGCUUGGAAAGGAAGCUAACCGGUUGCGGCGAGCUCGACCGACGAAUGUGAGUAAGCGUUGCCUUCAACUCUCUCCUUUUCUUUUCUGAAUGGUAGCCGCCAAUCCUCUUCAAAAUUAGGGUUUUUUCAGCUCUUUAACAGUAGCCGCUAAUCUUCUCCUCUUCUUUUCUGAAUGGUGGCCGCUAAUGUUCUCCUAAAACUAGGGUUUUUCAGCUCUCCCCCUGUUAGUGAACAAUGGCCUCCCUUUUAUAGUCACACUGCUAGGGUCUUUUGAAUUGGCCGCUGAGACCAAAGGGGUGUUGGACUUGGAAGUGCUUUUGGUGCUGCCAGUUUGUCUACCCUGUUUUGGUGUUUAUUCUGAAAAAGGUAAUAUGUACCUUGUACUUCUUCUGUAAAAAUGUUUUAUUUUGUUGCUUGUGAACCUUUGCUGCCUUACUAAGUUAUUGUGAUUUUACUGCAGUGAAGUUUCUUGCAACUUUGAGGCUUCUGUUAACCACACUCAACCUUGCAAGAGCAACCUUCUUGAGGUCAGGCCUGUAGUAGUUAUCUGCCACUGGUUUUGAACAGCCUUAGCCAUCCUCCUAAACUCCUUCUUCAUCACAGAUUUAUGAAGCAAAGCGGACGGCUUGUUCUGCUUCCUUGGCUUGGAGAAAGUUAGCAGGCUUCAAGUUAGAGUGCACAAUACGUUCCUCGUGAAUUGUAUUGACAACUUGAAGAAUUUUCGGCCAAUAAAACCGAAGCCAGUUUUCAUCUAUCAUCUCGUUUGAUUCACUCAGCUUCUUCCACUGCUGCGACAACAUGUGAGCUAACUCAAUUUCACCGUAUUCAAACUCAGAGUCGGCACAAGAAUCAAAUGUUUGCACCACACUUGCAGCCUUAUCAACUGAUAAUUUAUUCGAUUUUUCGACACAAGUGUUUACAUUCGUUGAUUCCAUAACUCUUUCAGCUUCUUAGUAGCCUUCUCAGCGGAGGGUGUAGACCACUGACACGGGAG
rnacentral:lncRNA from 1 species